rnacentral:rRNA from 1 species
UGGGGUAUAUUGCACAAUGGAGGGAACUCUGAUGCAGCGACGCCGCGUGAACGAAGAAGGCUUUCGAGUCGUAAAGUUCUUUUAUAUGGGAAGAUAAUGACGGUACCAUAAGAAAAAGCCCCGGCUAACUACGUGCCAGCAGCCGAGGUAAUACGUAGGGGGCUAGCGUUUUCCGGAAUCACUGGGCGUAAAGGGUUCGCAGGAGGAAAUGCAAGUCAGGUGUAAAAGGCAGUAGCUUAACUACUGUAAGCAUUUGAAACUGCAUAUCUUGAGAAGAGUAUAGGUAAGGGGAAUUUUUAGUGUAGCGGUGAAAUGCGUAGAUAUUAAAAAGAAUACCGGUGGCGAAGGCGACGUACUGGGCUCAUUCUGACGCUGAGGAACGAAAGCGUGGGUAGCAAACAGG